AGAGUUUGAUCCUGGCUCAGAAUCAACGCUGGCGGCGCGCCUAACACAUGCAAGUCGAACGCGAAAGUGGAGCAAUCCAUGAGUAGAGUGGCAAACGGGUGAGUAACGCGUGGGUGACCUGCCUCCGAGUGGGGGAUAACGUCUCGAAAGGGACGCUAAUACCGCAUAACAUCCUGUCUUUAAAGAGAUGGAGAUCAAAGCCUGGGACCGCAAGGCCAGGCGCUUGAAGAGGGGCCCGCGUCUGAUUAGCUAGUUGGUGGGGUAAUGGCUCACCAAGGCAUCGAUCAGUAUCCGGCCUGAGAGGGCGGACGGACACACUGGGACUGAGACACGGCCCAGACUCCUACGGGAGGCAGCAGUGGGGAAUUGUUCGCAAUGGGCGCAAGCCUGACGACGCAACGCCGCGUGGAGGAUGAAGACCUUCGGGUCGUAAACUCCUUUCGAUCGAGACGAAUGGCCUCUGGGUUAAUAGCUCGGAGGAAUGACGGUACCGAGAGAAGAAGC
rnacentral:rRNA from 1 species